CCCGGGAANNUUGGGCAAAGGAGGAAAGNCUGACCGAGCAACGCCGCGUGAGUGAAGAAGGNUUUCGGAUCGUAAAACUCUGUUGGUAGAGAAGAACAAGGAUGAGAAGAGAAUGUUCAUCCCUUGACGGUAUCUAACCAGAAAGCCACGGNUAACUACGUGCCAGCAGCCGCGGUAAUA
rnacentral:rRNA from 1 species